rfam:Brassica oleracea var. oleracea cultivar TO1000 chromosome C2, whole genome shotgun sequence
GAAAGCCGUAUUCGAUGAAAGUCGUAUGUACGGUUUGGAGGGAUUCAUUUGAUUUCUAUAUGAAUAAAAAAUAUAAAAAGUCUAAAAGUUCUUUCUACAAGGAAUUAAUAUCAACCUGGAC